UGUUUGGGAAUGCAGCUCUAAAACGGUGGUAAGGUUCAUCGAAAGCUAAAUACAGGCGAGAGACCGAUAGCGAACAAGUACCGUGAGGGAAAGAUGAAAAGAACUUUGAAAAGAGAGUUAAAAAGUACUUGAAAUUGCUAAGAGGGAAGCGCUAAAAACCAGUGUGACUGCUCUCAUUCUGCCUAUCCACCUCUCUGUUUGGCUGCGCUAUUAGUUGGCAACUCUAGUAGUGUAGUCUCACAAGCGGGGAGUGGGUGGGUCCUGUGAGAGUAGCGCGUCAGGAUCAGUUCAGAUGUGCAGGAGAGGAUAAGGGAGAAGGUAGGGUUGGAAACAACCUGUUAUAUCUCCCUGUUUCGACUGUGCUCCGGACUGAGGAAAAGUAAUGGUGCGCCGCUACGGCUUGUGCCUCUGUUGCUAUGUGGUACCAACGGCUUGGAUGACAAUGUCAUGCUGUUGUUGGUGCUGCACACGCAGUGGAACGCCCCGAUGCACCAUCACGAUUCUGACUAAAUGGUUUUUAUCGACCCGUCUUGAAACACGGACC
rnacentral:rRNA from 1 species